CUAUUUAAUUGUUGGAAUGAUAAAAUUAAAAUGCGUCCUAUAGCGGAACAAACGAUGAUGCGAGGCCGUUUCUCCUCUUACCCCUGGAUCGUAGAUAUUCAGUGAUCGAUCGUGGUGACUUUGGAACGGGAUCGGUCAAAUUCGACCCCAUACAAUAUUCAAGAAUUAUUUAAUUAAAGUGCGUAAGCCACUACAACACUUAUAUAUUACCAUCAUAGUCCAACAUAGAAAAACUGAGAAAGAAAAAACAAGAACAGUGUUGUAAAAUUGACCUUAAAACCUACCUGGCCUUCGAAAAAGCGGAAAAUUUCACUAUGUAUUUAGGACGGCCAUUGCGUAACUUCUUAUUGACUCUGGUUAUGCAGAGUGAUAUAAACUUUUUGACAAAUCCGAGAGGAUAGAUACAAUUUAAGAGAAAGCCCUUUCUUCGCUCAUUCUAUAUAAAACAUAAAAAUACAAUACAGUGCAUAUUAUAAAAGAUACGUGUGAAUUGGGCACUUGUCACUUGUAAUCCGAAAAUUAUUUCAUUCCUUCUUGAACGUGAAAUACGUGCAAUUUUUUCUUCAUGCGCGUAUAUUGCACGUGCAGAUGUACAUAAAAAUUAAUAUAUAUCCAAACUGAAUAAUGAAAAACGAACUCAAUUCUCAUUAGAGAAGGAAUGUAUGUAUAAUACCAUAUUAAUAUGGGGAAUAAGAGCGAUGGGGGUGGCACCGGGACAUACUGCUACUAGCGCAUAUAAGUCAAUUAUUCUUUACUCAAUUCCUGCGUGGAUCUCUCGUCUUAACCAUGCAAAUAUUCUUCGUUGCUACGUUGCACUACUAAAAUUAUUGAUUUGAUUAGUGCUUGUUUUUCUACUUUAAGGUGUGAUGUGCAGUCUUCACAGCCCAAAACAUCAGCUAUAGCUAGUAGUGCUGUCAUAAGCGUUAUAAAGAUAACUUAUGCACAAAAUCGACAAAGUUUUAUAGAUAAUGCAAAAUUAUGGGCACCAUGAACUUCAUUUGUGGUGACAAAGUUGCAGUAUA
rnacentral:lncRNA from 1 species